AUGUCCCGGUUCAAUCAGGUACUAGGCUUCCCCAUCCCAUACUAGGUAUGAGAUUAGUACUUUCAAACACUUGAUCACGAACACUAUCACAUCUCAACCAUAGUCCAAUUUCAUGUAGACAGACGGGGCAAACCACCAAGUACCAAACAUAAGCCCGGCCUCGUCCAUCGUCGUUAUAGUUGCAACAUAAGUAAAGCAAUCAACUCCUAUAACUCGCGAGUGAUAGGAAAUCACUCAACUUUUACCGAGUCCUAUUAAGCAUUGCAACUACUCGACUUAGCAUACUAGUGUUUAGAUCAAGGGUACUAUAUUCAUACAUCUAUGGUUUCAAUCAACUCCUAGAACGUAAAUGCGCAAUCAAAGCAAUCAAUUGUAUUGCAAGUAUUUAAAGAUAGGAAAUCAUGCUCCGGGGCUUGCUUGGAAUCCAACACUAGGUUAGUGUUUGUUAGAUGACACUCGUUUGGUGAGCAUCUCCCAUCUCGGCACUUGCUUAGUCCUUCCAUCUUCGGGAUAGGUCCACCAUACACCAUCUUCGAGUUCGGUUCCAUCAUCACAUCCUUCACGUGGUUUAUCUAGCGUAUCUAGAUGAGAUGCAAGUGCAUGAAUAUGAAGAAUGGUAACAUGAGAUGCAUUACAUAAAAGCAUUUAGGACAAGCACAAGGUUACACCACAAGAUAUAAGUACUUAGAGAGCAAGUUAUUUAACUAACUAUCACUCAAGUCUCCAUAGAGAUAGCAAGCAUAACAAGCAUGGCACGCUAGUUAACUCAAGUCAAGCUAUUGCAAGCAUUUAACAGUGAAGAGCUAAUUAAGCAUAGCAUCAUAGAAGAACUAGAGGUGAUGGUGCUUAUCAACAUGGCAUACAUAAGUGCAUCACCCAACGAGCAAUUUGAAGGUGAUCAAAGUAUAUUACAUUUGUUUUUAAACUACUCAUGCACAAGCAAGUCACACACCGACAUCACUAAGGUUUUAGUAAGCUACGCAGCAAGGUUAUUUUGUAGCAACAUGUAUACAUGAACAUUUAUUGGUUAAGUUCUUGACCAACAUUAUAUAACACAUUUAUAAGAUUCUCAGGUAGAUCAAUUUAACUCUAAUAGUGAUACGAGCUAACUAAAAAACACACAAGGCAACAUCAAGUUAAAGCUAAUAACUUAAGCACACACACCGAAUCUGGACAGCUGCACAGCAGUCACUUGUUUUAGCUAUAACUAGAGAUAUAAGCAUCCGACAAGGGUGAACCUAGACUUUAUAUAAAUUUAAUGAAAGUAUCUAAAACUUCGUUAUGUAUUCCAAAAGCUAAUUCACAAGUUAACAUGAUCAAAUAUGCCAAAAUCUCAGGUGUGUACCGAUAAGGAUAGUAAACUAACAUGAACUUCAAAAAUGUAUAACCGGAGUUCUAAUCAUCCAACAAGCAUGAUCCUUAACUUUUUAGAAAUUUUAAUAAGUUAUAUACAACUUUCUUCUUAUCAUAUUUAGGUGAUUCAACAGUUAUUUAGCCUUAAACCACAAAGUAACAAUCCUGUUCAAAAUAUGUGUUGAAUCUGACAUGCAACUUUAGACAGGAAUAAGUUUAGUUCUAGCUUUCACAACAAGGUGGUUCUAGACCUUUUAGAAAUCUUAGCAAACCACGCACAAUUUUGUUAUAAAUAGCACAAGCUAAUUCCAUAGUUAACCAGGUCAAACAUCACAAAGAAGACAUCUCUAUCCAGAUUAGGACAGAUUCUGUCAUUCCACUUCACAAGCUCAUAACUGGAGAUUUCGACCACUAAAAGGAGUGAUCUUUAACAAUUAUAAAAGCUACUGAAAAUCACUACACUUCUUCCAUUAUCUCCAAGACAUGAGUCAAACCUUAGCUAAGUCAAACAACACAAUCAUUCAGACCUGUACAGAGAGCAUGCAAAACUUGACAAUGAACUUGUAAAAUCUAUAGCUCCUAAACCAUCAGGCUUAUGGUCAUGAAAAUUUAACACAAGCUAUAUUAUGAAGUUACCUACAGCUUUUGUAUUCACUACAUAUACAGAAAACAUCAUUUGCAUCACGAAAACAUUGCCACAACAGAAACUACUCUAGUAGCCAUUUCAGCACAUAUGCAACAAGGUUCCUCAUUUAGUUCUUUAACAAGGUAGCAUAUGCAUAAGUUAAACACAUAGAUCACAACUACUAUGAACAUAGUUAAUUAUCAUUAGUUAUAGGUAACAUGGAACAUCCUGUGGCGGAACCGCCCAACUUAAACUGGUUUAAAUGCGCCUAAUCGCUGUCAGGACAGCAAUUAUCCUAAAUGCACUUAAAACAGUAUAAGUCCGGUAGUCCGUCGAGUGUCCCUAGGACUCCUCAAAAGAUCCACGUCAUGUCUCAUAGCCAUACACCAGGAUCGCUUCCACGAUGGGAAAGCAUCAACAAACAUUACAUUUGUACAUACAUACAAGAGGUACGAAUUAUUACAGAACGUAGUUUGAAGUAAACUUAACAAUGCAGGUUAGAGGGAUUCUAGGAGUUUUAAACAUAAACUGGUCCAGGUGGGAGAUGCACAUAAGAGUUUUUCCUUCUGAGGGUAUUGCGAGACUCAUAACAAUACCCUAGUUUUCCGGGGCUUCCUCCUCUGCGGGCUCCUGCGGUGCUUCUGAAACAGCCACAAGGGAUAACCCUGAGUACGGGGUACUCAGCAAGGCUUACCCGACUAACCAAUAUAAUAGUCUUUCUGGAACUACAUGAUAGCUGUUUAGUGUACUGGCUGACUCACCUUUUGCCAAAAGAGCUUACUAAAAAAAUGAGACCUUAGCUUUAUCUUUUAACUCAAUUAAAUUAUUACCUAACCAACCUAAAUGAUGAAAAAAAUAUGCCUUUGCAAGCAGUAGGAAUUUAAGUCAUACAACAAAUUAAUUUCGGAAAGACCUUGCAUUCAAGAGAUUAUACUACGAUGCUCAACAGUGAUCAAGUGCAUUCAUAACUGAGAAUUGCGACGAUCCGGAUCAAUUUACAUCCUGCAGGAGAGCACCCUGAUCACCAGCUAUGUACGACUGUACGGGUCGUACGUAACGACCUUUCGAUUAGCAAACCCAAGGAUUGCGAAUAAGACUACCCGAACCCAGGGACGCACCCCCACAUGGGACCCCACGUCUGGCCUGAUCUCCAUGUGAGUUUCAAGCUACGCCCCUGCCAAUCUCCAGCACGUCAAGCAUGGGUACGAAAUAUUCCCGAUCAGCGAGUCUACUAACCUACCGGGCUUUACUGGUCCCAUACCCAGUAAGCAACCAGGUGACAAUCACUUGAUCAAAGGUUAAGACAACGAUCGGGCCUUAACCGAAUUAACCUAGCAGACAGAACUAACAUCUCUAGCUUCUGUCUGCUUUUCAAACUUCCGAGCUACCUUUCCAGAAUUAACAUGUAUGACCCAACAUUUCACCUUAAGGUUUGGUAACCAAGUUACUUUAAGCAUCUAAGCAUUUCUAAACUUGGGUUACUUACUAAUUGUUUGAACAAGUGGCAAAGAUGUCCUUAAAACAAGGUAAGGUCAUGCACAAGAAUGGGUUUCAUUCAACUCAUAGAUCUAAUGCAAUCAUAUAGAAAUUAACCAAUAAUUGGACACAUGAAAUAAUAACUCCAAAAUAGAUAGGUAUAAAUGCACCGGGGCUUGCCUGGGAUCAACAAAUGUUAGUUCUUCGGAAAACCCCUUCAGUAAAAGAGGCACUUCAACAUUUCGCGGACGCUGCCCAUCCUCAGCUGAAUUCCACGAAUCUCACUUCAGGAGCUUCGACGUCUACGAUCCAUUAUAUGCAGGAGUUAGAGAUGCAAACUUUUGAAUACAAGACUAUACAACUUUCCUUCAUGAUAAAGUUGCAAGCCAACAAGUGACUAUACAACCUAUCUUCAUGAUGAAGUUGCAAGCCAACACUAAACUACCCAUAAAGAUUAACCCCCAAUUUUAAAUUCCUUACUAACCUAUCUAAGCCUUUCUUUUAUUUUAGAAAAGUAUUAUAAUAAUUUUCUAAUCUCAAAACUUAAUUCCUAUGGAUUAAUAAUAAUUUGUGAACAUGAAAACAUUAUUCCAUAUUUUAUGCAUUUAAUAAAGGUUAAGUAUUUAUUUAAAUACCUUAAUGAAAAGGCAUUAAACAAAUACCUAAGUUUUUAUUAUUUUUCCUAAGGUAUAAGAAUUUUAAUGCAUAAAGGAAAAUAAAAUAAUUCCUAACAAAAUUGGUUUCACUAAUUUUGGGCACUUCUAGAAUUUCCUGUGAAUUAAAUGGUGUAAACCAAAUUUUUAAACUCUUUAUCUAUAAAACGAAAACCUAAGGUUUAUUUAAAUAACCCCAGCCCAAAACUUUUCUCACUCGCACUGGGCCCAAAAGCCGGCCUACCAAUCUUCUCCUCCUUUUCCCCUGGCGCACGGGCCUGCUGAACCGGCCCAACGAGCGCCCAACUUUAGCGGGCCUCCUCACGACCGGCCUGCCUUCCUCACAGGCCAACGACCCAACUUCCUCCUCCUUAACCACCCGUCGGCCCACCUUUCUUAUCCCUUUUCUCCUUCCGACGCUCAGCCUGUUGAUCCGGCCCACAGCCUUCCUUUCACCCGCCGGCCCACUUCCUUUCCAAGCCGAAAAUCGGCCCAUCGGCUCUCCCUCUUUUCCCCCUCUUGCAGCUGACGAGCGGGCCCCCCUUGGUCAGGGGCUUCUUCCUCCCCUGGCCAAGAACAGAGGUGGAACAGGCCGGCGGGGGCUCACCGGCGACGGGGCCGGGCCGGGGAGGCAUCCCCAGGCCGCGGCACACCCGUGGGCGGCGGCGGCCCCCCGGGAGACGGCCAGAGAUGGCUUCUCCACGGCGGCGGGCGGCUUGGCCGGCUGCCGGCCGUGGCCUCGCACGGCGACGGCACAACACGGCCUUCGGCCUCCUCCUACGGCUCCCAAACAACCCAGCAUCGCGACUAGGACCCAAACAUUGAAGAGAAACGGGCGGCACAGAGAGCUCACCGGAGGAUGGUGGUGGCAAUGGGCGGACCGGUACGGCGGCGAUGCCCGGGCUGGCAGCGACGAACUGGACGACGGGCAGUUGCAGGGCGUCGCCAGGGCGUCGCGGUGGAGUCAGAGAGGUAGUUGGUGGCUGGUUCACGAGGAGGAAACGGCGGCGCGAAGAAUGGCCGGCGACGUGCUGCUGGCUCGCUCGAGCUCUGCUCUCGGCGGUGAAAAGCGGCAGAGUAAAACGGAUAGACGCGGGAGCAGCAACAUUACGAUUUUUCACCGUGCAUGACGUCCAGCUCGGCUCGCGGUAAGCGGCGUGGCGCGGACGUGGCCAUCACGCUGGCCGGCAAACGUGAGAGCCGGUGUCUCUGUGCUUUCUGUUCUUCCCUAUUAACACUUGCUUGUACUCAAAUCUUCCAAGGUUCAGAUGUUAAAAACUCCCAAAUUUUCAUUGUAAUUCUUGCGAUUCGCAACACUCCUUUAAACAAUCUUGUAGUGUAAACUAAGUACUUCAAUUGAUAGAUUGACCAUUAACUGAGGCGAACACUCUAGCACCAAGAUUUCGAAACUCAAAGUCCGGCCGAAAACUCUCUGUAACUGAACCAGAACGAUUCAGUUUUGUCAGACCUCUCAGCAGAGCCAUUUGCUCCACUUUGGGUUCGAUUUUAACUGCCCAAACUCACUUUAUCUUGCCCAACUUCCACUAAUCUUAGUUCAACAUACAACAAAGGUUCCAUUUUGCACAUAAGAACCCAUCUCUUACACACUAGAUUUUUCAAAAACUUGCACCAAAGAUUUGCUAAGCAGCCCUGUUCUUGAGGACAGCAUGAAGUUCUAACUUUGAGCCUCCAAAGAAAUUUGAAUUCUUUGCUUUCUUUGGCCAGCAACACAUCCAAAACACCCUUUAUGAAAGUUGGAGGAAAUCCAAAGUUCUACCUUUCAUAGAUUUGCACUUUUGGCUGAAUCUCGCUCCUUCCUCGUGAAAAUGUCUCUGAACUUUUCUGGACAUUGAACUUCAACUUAACUGAAUUUUUUUUUUCCUUUUGAACCUUGCUGUCAGAAACUUCAACAGCCAGUUACGACAAAAAUCCAAACUGCUCUUUCAAAAGUCCCUUUGUAAAAGUUGUAGUAAAUUUGCUGAAUUUCAAUUCAUAUUAUUACACCUCCUUCAGAUUCCCAACCAAUCGAGAGGAAUUUCCUUCUGAACCUGACUGCUACUUUUCCCUUUUUAACAGCUAAGCCUUUUGACAGAUUUUCUUCAGGUCGAUUUUCGUGGCUAAAAUUCAAUAGAGUCUUGCUCAGAGCCCUUAAACAAAGUUGUAGGAAAUAUUUGUGACUAUCUUUGAUACAUUUGGAGUUUCUGCUGAUUUUGACUCUAAGGGUUUGAAAUUUGCUUCCAAAACUGACUGUUACUGUUCAUUCCUCCAGUAUAGACAGAACUGUCAAUUUUUUUGAGCUGAAGGUUCAGAUUGUGUUUACUCCAUUUUUUUCACUUAAACUCUCAAAACUUUCUUUACAGAAGUUGUAGAGAACCUAUUUCUCUACAUUUCUCUUAGUCAUCUCAAAAGUCAAAUUCUUUUUUUUUUCUCUUCCAAAUCUAGCUCUGAAGCUAACUGCCAUUUCUUGCUUUUCACUGAACUGAAUUUGCACUGACUGUCUGUACUUCUUAACAGAACAGCACCCCCUUCUCCAAUUAAAUCUUGAAUUUCCACUUAACACUUCAAAUGCCAAUUAUUUCAUGCCAAACUUGGAGAUCAUGCUAAGCUUAAUAUAAAAGUUCCAUUUUGCCUAUAAAACCAAAAGUCCACAUAGGAUUUCUUCAAAAUCUCUUGAAUCAAAAUUCAUUUCUUUUAGAACUGUUUUCCAGAGGCAAUCAUUCCUACUUUCAGUUAGUGAACAGGAGCAUCCUCCAUUUUGAUUUUUGGACAAUUUAAGGUCCAUUUUCUUCUCAAAUGGUCUCUUUAAGUUCCAAAUGUCCAUAAGGUCCAAAUUCAUGCAUUUGUCAACUUUUUCUGAAUUUGAAGCUCUUAUUUGGCAUUUUUGGCUAAAAUUUGACCAAAAGUUGACUUUGGCCAUAAAAGCUCAUUAACCUCCAAAUCUUUAUCAUAUCCUGUUCUUGGCCAUUCUUGAGUGUUUUUAACACCCCGGGUGCUCUGCCAUACAGUUCUCAGCAGAUAGCUCGAUAAUCACUUGUUCCCUCUUUGAGUUCUAAUUUGGGAAUUUAAAUUCGUGUUUCUUGGGCUAAGAACUUCUGCAAUGGUUAACCAUAGAUUAAAGAUUCUAUUUCUCAAGUUGUCACCCAACUCUUGGUUGUAGGAGUCCUUUGAAUUUUUAAAUCUUGAAUCUUGAAUUCGAAUAUUUGGCUUUGGGUGAGAGGAGUCGAAGGGAGAUGGUAGGAGUUGGAUGGAUUUCGCUAGCGAAUGGAGCUCGAUCGGCCAUGGCUAUGCUUUUAAUAACACUGGGUGUUACACAUCCUAAACACCUUAAGCAAGAAUUAAAGCAAAAGUGAAGAACUUAUAUAAGCAACAUAAUCAUUAGUUGUUAUAUUAAUAUGAGAGCAUACAUAUGAGUUAUAUUCAAAGCUUAACCACUACUUAUCAUAACUUAGCAUCAUAUGUACCCCUCAAAAAUAACUAUUAAAAACAUCACAUGACUUGAGUAUAUGCAUCUACUAGAAAAUUUUCAUUAUCCAAUUAUAUAGCAAGCAUAUAUAUUAAUUAUAGGAGAUGUGGCAAACAUCUCAUUUGGAGCUGAGAUUUUUAUGGAUGAUAGAUGUUAUCAAAAUUACGGCUAUUGUAAAAUUUUCACAUGCUCAUGUUUUAUAAUUCAAUUGCUACGAAAAAGACAAAUUGCUCUUGCAAGAAAGCAUGUAAAAGCAAGAUAAUUCUAAAGAUCAUAAUUUCUAUAAACACAUAGCCAUACAAAAUGUUAUUAGGGUAGAACAACCUAAUAAAAAGGUAGUGGAACCAUAAUUUCUAUUUUUAGACACUCCUAAUAUUUAUAAAUCGCAUAACAAGCAUUAAACAAGUUAAACCAAAAACUAGGUCAUACAUGCACCAAUAAAUAUGAAAUUUUUACCACACCACAGAAUUUGGAGCAUCAAAACUUUAGAUAUGAAAAUGACAAGCAAACACACUAAAAUUUCCUAUUUAUCAAGAUUAAAUCAAAACAUGAUAAAAACAGUACACAACUAGCAUGUUCAAUAUUUUUUUAGCUAGAGAGUGUCAUCACAAGACUAAGACAACUGGAAUCACAAUUUUUGAACUUCUAGAACUCAAGAGAUGCAUCUAACCAUCUUAAAAGGAUUUCUAAAAGCACUUUGCAAGAAUAAAUAAAAACAUCAGAAACUUUCUGCUAACACAUAUUAUAUUAUGACUCUAAUACAUACUUCUACUCACAAGGAUUCUAAAACAUCUUCAUUAGCUAUUUUACAAUUUUCUACAAUUUACUAUGAAUUUCCAAAGUUUUAGCCUUUUUAGAUCUAGGAAAAAUAAAGAAAUCCGAGGCCAUCUUCCAAUCUAGCCCCUAGGUCUACGGGUUAAUCGCGCAAAGACCCUUGGAUCUUGCGCCUACACCCCUGGACAGAUUCCCCCUUCACUCUUAAAUCCGAACUUUUCACAGGACCCCCUACACUUCUUUCCCAAAAGCAAUCGGGUCCCUAGGCCCUUUCUUUUACCUCCAGUCACGCACAAAACAGCAGGUCACACAUAGCACGUCGCACGGCCGGCCGAGAACAAGGGGAAGGAGCACGGUGGUGCUAAGGAGGAGGGCGACAGGCCAUGCCCCAAGUUCAGGGACCUCACCCGUGGGGUCGUUGACGGGGGAUGGGCGGCGCACUAGAAGCUCCGAGGGGUGGCGGCGAAUGCCGUCGACAAGCCCGGGAACGAGCGAGGAAACUCGAUGCAAAUGGAAAAAGGACAAGAGCAUUACAGUUAGGAGCUCACCUAAGUUCCAUUUGAGCUGUUGGGGACGAGGAGGGCCAGAGCAUGGGGCGCCAUGUGAGGUCAACGGCGGCAGUGGAAAAGUUUUUGUAACUUGAGGGAAACUUCGAUUCCCGUCAAUUCUGUGGACGAUUGAGGGAGAGGAGGGGCUGAGGGUGUAGCUGGGGAAGUGGCGCAGCUUUGGGUGAGAGGAGUCGAAGGGAGAUGGUAGGAGUUGGAUGGAUUUCGCUAGCGAAUGGAGCUCGAUCGGCCAUGGCUAUGGUGAGGAGGUGUUUAGGGUGUUACACAUCCUAAACACCUUAAGCAAGAAUUAAAGCGAUUUAAGGAGCCAGGUGCUUGGAGAUGAGGAUGGGAGAGAUGAUAAGUUUGCCACAGCGUUGGGCGAAGCGGCGGUGGCUUGUCUGCGGCGGCAGCAUCGCGGGGGCGCGAGCUUGGAGCAAAGCAGUGGGCAAGCGGUGCGGAGGAGCUGCAGAGGGCAGGGGGAGUCGUCACGUCGGGCAUUGGGGUUGGGCGAUGGCGCGGCGCCGGUGAUCGGGAGCCACGUGGUGAGCGGCGUGCGGAGCGCUGGUGCGCGCAUGCUCUGGCGUGGGGAGUUCAUUGUUCAUGAGGUGCAAUGAACCGGCCGGGAUUUGGGGGCUGGUUUACUCAAAAUUUUUGAAUUGCACGCCCAAAACUUCCUUUACAGAACUUGUAGGCCUAACAACCAAGUUCAAACUCUAUUAAAGGUUUUUGCCCAGAUUUGAAACGGAAUCAGAGAUAAAUCGCGUCAAAGUUCGUCAAAAAUUGAAGUUUUCUUAGAAAUAUUUCAGCCGAGCUGCUCGUGUUGACCAAACUGGUUGUGUUUGACCUCAUUUUUGGAAACCUUUUGUGUAGAUUUUGGCCUAGCUCCAAUAAGAAAAGUUGUUAAAGGCUUGUAGCACUAAAACUUUUAUAAAUGGUUUAACUUGAGUUUUCAUUCAAAAUCGUGAGAAAUAGGGCUUCAAAUUUGGGGAUUUUCAUGCCUUUCAGCACUUAGAAUUUUGACUGAUUUAAAAAAGCCACUGAUUUUAAUCUGAGUUUUUGAAAGCCUUCUGCUCAGAUUCAAACAAAACGCCAAAAAUAAAAGUUGUUAGGGAAGAUGAGUUGUACAACUCUUAGUUGGAUAAAAUUUCAGGUUCUUAUAUAAACAUUUAACUUACGGCUUAAUCACUUUUUAAGCUCUUAGGGGUCAAAGUUGACCUUUGACUCGUUUACUUAGCUGCUAAUUGCCUCUCUUAGGCUUAAACAAGGUUAUUUUAACCAGGGUUGUUACAAAAACCUAGAGGAAAAACUACACAGUAACAUGUCCAAAGCCAUUCUUUCAAUAAAACUACUCAACACCAGGAGUCUAACAAAGUUGGAUUUGCAUUUUUAGCAUUUUUCUACAAUUUCCUAUGCAUUUCCAAAGUUUCAGCCUUUUUAAAACAAAAGUAAAAUAGAAAAGAUAAAACGUUUCAUGCUCAGCCCCUGGAAAGAGUUUGGGAAAAGCAAUGUGGUCCUUGGGGGCUCGGCCGGCGGUGCUCCGACGAAAUCCGGCGAGGUCCGACGAGGAGGGGUUGGGAAAGGGUAGGGAUGCAAUUAACAGCUCCCCAUGAGGUGUUGGGCUGAAAGGAGCUCAGGCGGAGGAGGUCUAAUGGCGGCAGUUCACGGCGAGGGUCCUAGCGGUGGAGAAGCUUCAUCUCCGGCGAUGAUGGUGGCGAGGCUGGCUAGGAGUGGCUCAGGAAGCUGUAUGAGUGACCCACCGGAGGGGCUAGGAGGUGGUAGCGAUGUGCGAGAGGGCGAGCUUGAUGGCGGCGUGCUGCGGCGGAGCGAAGCAGAGUCUCAGUGCUUUGAAUGGCGGCAAGGAAACGCCAACAAGAGGGGGCCUUUUAUAGGAACCAGGGGGUGUCUGCGGGAGGGGGGUAAGGACGUCGGGGCUUGCUUGGGUGCACUGGGCGCAUGGAGGUGGCCGGGUAGUGGCGGAGCAAAGGAGCAGCGGGGCGGUUGGGCGGCGCAGUGGCGUGCGGGUGAGCGCGCGCGUGGGUGCUCGAUAGGGAGUGGCGGGGCUGUAUAUGCAGGAGGGGAGGAUCACUUGGUUGUGUGCAAGGAUUGGCCGGGGGAGGGGCACUCAUUUUGUCUUAUCACCGGCAGCAUUGGCUGGCAGCGGAGCUGAUGGCACGCGGAGACAGUUAUUUUGAAGCCAGUUUGCGUCAAAAUUUGAAACCAAACUUUAAAAUUUUCAAAACUAGAAGUUAUUGUCCAAACAUCAGGCUACAAACUCUAAAAAAGCUUGAGGUGCAAAACUUGGCUACAUUUGGAGAUAAACAGGUGCAAACAUUGGAGGAACGCUGGAUUUAAAGAGAUAGUUUGAAAAAGAACUAAGUUUGAACUUUGGCUCAACUUUGACCCGAAUUUGGAACACCUUCCACUCCAAAUCAGUGAAAGCCCAAAUAACAAAAGUUGUUUGAUUUGAAAACCUCUACAACUUUUAUAUUGGAAAAAAGUUGAGUUGUUAUACAAAAAUUUGAUUUUCCACUCUUAGCCCUUUUCAAGUGCUUUUCAAGCUCAAUUUUGGAAUUUUGAAAAAUUUACAAGUGGCGACUUAAGGUUUAGUGAUGAUUUGAGUGCUUAACACUUUAUUAAACCUUGGAAUUGUUUUCUUAAACUAAGGAUGUUACACUUAUGCCCUUGCGCGGGCAUACCCUUGACCUUGAGAGGGGCUCCAACAACGAGGAUUAGUGGAGACAUCCAAUCCCUCAACACAAUAACCAACCAGCGAAACCUUCAUACCUAAGUGUCGAUCAUCCAAAAGGGAAUGAGUGACGGGGUGAAGGUGACCGCCGGGUCCUCCUGCUGGUGACCUUCGGGUCUCUCUGCCAUCAGCGAUCACCCGAUCCUGGCAUCCACCAUAUCCUCUCCUCCUCCCCUCUCUCCGAUCUUCUGCCAGAGAUCAAGUAUGGCUCCAAACAUUGAUCUACGCCAGGGCCAUAACUUUUCAGCAAAGGUACGCUCCCUUCUUGGUGCCAAAGUCUCGUCGCCUCCUUCAGUUGAGGUUCCAAGCUUUUUGCUGCUAGCUUCUUUCCCUCGAUCGAGGUUGAAAUUGUCUCAAGAUAGUGUUGGUUUUCUCCUUCAAUCGGUGCUUGGAGGGUCUGCCUCUCAGUUUGCCCCCUUGGAGGUUCAUGAUUGGGUUUACCAAUUUAGAGUCUCACCUAAAGAAGUUGGAUUGCUUGUAUACAAAUUGGGUUUUUUUCAAUGUGAGCAAUUCAAAGUGGAUUUCAAUCUUUGGAAUGAUCGAGGUCUGCAUUGUGCACAGCAAGUGAUUGCAGAGGCUCAAGGCACUCAUUUUCCAUGGCAUCAUGUUGGGUCCAAGAAAUCCAGCAAAUGAGUGCCAGUCCAAACAGCUAGUCCUGCCGGCAGUCCUCUAACUGGGGCAAAUUCUAUACCGAUUAGGGAAUCCAAAAGGGCCUUUUAGCAGCAAGAUCAGGUUCCUCAUAUUUCAGUCUUCCAUCAUCUUGGCCAUCAACAUUCUUCUAUUGUUCUUGGAUCUCUAAUUUCUGCGAAGAACACGGAAUUCUCAAAUUCUUCAAAUUUGAAUUCUACAGUUUUGGAUAUUGAUUUGAGCCUUAAUUUAGGGCUCAAUGAUGGUGGGGUUUAAAGAAGGGCUACAAAUAUGGAGCAUUCAGUUUGGGCACCAUCUUUGAAUGGAGCAGUUACUCAUCUUGUGGGCCAUUUGCAUUGUACGCGAUGUCUCUCCACCGUACACUCUCGGCCCAACUACACCAGGCCUGUCAGGUGUGGGCUUUGUUUCUGCCUGGGCCACAUUUCUACUUAUUACCGAUUCCCACCUCAGUUUUCGGGCCUCUCUCACGAUAGGAGCUUCACCUCUGCAAUUCUGCUGGCAAAUUGGGUUGGGCAAAAUGUUGUCAGAUGGUUUACUAGAUGCGCACCUAUGACUGAUGGGUCCAACAGUUGUGAAGCCCCUAUGUUCAGCUCUCUCUAAGAGAUGGGUCAUCAUGUUUUGGGUUGCAUUUCAUCAGAACCACCUAUUACAAUAACAUGGAAGUGCAGAGUGGAUAUCGGAGAAUGCGUUUCACCUUCCGUGCCGACAUCAGUGCCAUCGUCACCACCCUGUUCGCCAAGUUCUCCUCCUUGCCUUCCUAGAGAGUCCCCUGUUCCUCCUGCAGUCCAUCCUCCUGCACCUCCUUCGAGCCCUCUUGCUUCGUGCCCUCCCCCGCAUUGUGCCAUAGAAAACCCCAGUGCUACAGUUCCCUUCAUGCAAGAAAUGAGCCUUGCCCAGAAUCAUUCAUGGCCUACAGGUUCAUCGACCCUGCUCCAUUAAUGCCUAGAGGAUGUCAUUGCCAGCUGGUGGGGUUCAGGAAGCCGAUGACUAGGGUGGUUCUUGGUGGUCCACGACGGUACAACUAUGAUGUGGCAAUCACUGAACCUCUGCCAGAGCAACAGGUAUCUUUCUAGUGUAUCAGAGACCUAUUAGAUGACUUCUUGCACAAUCGUUGCCUUGUGGACUUUCACUCAAUUCAACCCUACCCUUAUGGUCAAGCCUACGUGCGUUUCAAUUUUGUGGAUGAUAGGGAUUUCUUGAUUGGUGGUAGCCCCAAUGAUUUUGGAUAGUAUAGGAUCUCCUUUGCUGAGCAUAAUAGAGGUUGGAACAAUGAAACAAUUACCAUGAACUGUCAAGUUUGGCUGAUGCUGCUUUGGUUUAAUAUUGAUUUCUGGUCCAGAUCACACAUAGAAAAAACCAUUGCUGAACUUGGUAAACUGCUAGUUUGGGAAGAAGAUCCAAAUAAUCUAGCCAGAAUAGUUGUCAAAGCAAGGGUAGUUGAUCAUUCAGAAAUCCCUUGGUUCAUUCUGUGUUCUGAAGGGGAGGUUUGAAGGGGAUUCCUAGAUAGCACAGUGUGAGAUUCUACAAUAUAGAAUGUUAGGAGGUGCUCCUGGAGAUUAAGAUCAGCCACCUAAAGAUGUUGAGCCAAACUUGUUUGAUUUCUUUGGUUAUGGGCAGCCUUCUAAUGCAGGUCUUGCUAAUGAUGGUCAUGGCAAUAAUUUGAAUGCUAAUCAUGGGCCUGCACCCCUAUGGGGUCUUUGGCUAGAUGGGCCUGAAGCUCAGGAUGAUGCCCCCUUCAUGGGGCCUCCAGUCAAUCCUCAAGGGCCAGCAACACAGAAUGAUCCUCAACCAGCUCCACAACCUCUUGCAAAUGACUUCCUGGAAGUCAAUGACCUGGCAAUGCCCUGGAUUUUGAUCUGAACAUGGAUGUUGAUGAUGACAUGGGAGGCCUUAAUAACCUCAUUCAGGUUGCUGAAGAUUUAGAAGCUGAAGAUCCUAUACAGCCUGCUCAAGUCAUUGAUGCAACUCAUUCAUCAGAUAGCUCCAAUGCUAAUGCUCCAGAGAUAAAUAAAGGUGUAGAGGGGAUACAGGUGGAGGUCUUUAUUCCACAAAACAAUGGUCAGCCUAUGCAUUUCAUUUAGGAAGAUAUUCAGGAGCAUGAGCUGAUGGGGGAAGAUAACAACAAUGUUGAUCAACAGCAGCAUGGCUUUGAUAAUAACAAUAUGCAGCUGUGCUUUGUUGAAAUACUGGAGCCUAGUCAAGAUCCUAUUUUCACCUCAAGAACUCUUAUGCAGCCAUUUCCGACUUCUAAAUCCAAUCCUGAAGUAGAGAGACAGUGGGCAAGGCACUUUUCUCUAGGCAUGACAUCUCAGAGGGUUGAUAUUCCUCAUCUUUGGUUAGAAAUUUUCACUACACAGCUCCUUAACCCUCUCAGUUUUGUUCCUUUGAUAGUAUUUGCUGUUAUGUUACCUACCAGCAACUGUUAAGUUCAAUAGAUAAAUGGAAAGAAAUAAUCUUUGAGGGUACUCCAUUGGGCAAUAUUGCAAGUUCAGCUAAACAAUAUCAAACUACACCUGAGCCAACUCUUGAUACGGCUGAUGCUUCUCAUUCAGAGUUUUUCUCUGUCAAAGAGCUAUCUCUAGGGACACCCAUGGAAGCCAUGCUGCAAAAGGUCUCCUCUUCUCCUGGGCCUUGCUCAAAAAAUUUACUGCAACAAGUUGCCAAUCUUAAAAUUGUUGACAAGGUAAUCUCUGAGGAAGAUCUUAGAAGAAGCAAGAGAUAUCAAUCUCAAAACCAAGGUUUUAAAGCUGCAGGAUGCAAAAAUCAAAACUGCAUUGGGUGUUCAGUCAGCCCUCCCAUACUCACUCCUUUUGUUAUCAGAAAUCUUGAGGAAUCCUUUUGUAAAGUGGAUCUAACGAAAUUGACUUCAGUUGCUCCAAAUAAGAAGGCAAUAGCUCCCCUUGGUGGUAAGAAGCUAGCCAAGAAGAAGUCUGAUCCUACUAAAGAUGAUGCUGAUAUCCAGAAGAUUUCCAAGAAAAAGCCCAAGAAGCAAUUGGGUUGGUGUGGCGGAACUGCCCAAAUUAACCUGACUAAAAUGCACUUAAGUCGCCUGACACGCGAUCAUGCACUUUAAGCAAGUCAACAUGGUCGUCCGUCGGAUUUCAUCCGAUAAACCACUUACUCAGGAUCGAGAAGCAUUGCUCACACGAGGGUGAGUGGGCACAGAGAUUACAACAUUCUCAUCACAAUAACAUAGUUCAACAUUUUAUUACAUCAGAGUUUUCGAAAUUCAGACCGAAUUUGCAAGGUUGUAAGCAACAAGAAGUAAAUCAAGCGGAAGCUAAACAUCGAUACACGAUAUCAUGAUGAAGUUGAUCAUGACAUCAAUGAUCCCUAUCCUCGCCGACCGAGGAUGAGUCCCAAACAAGACAACACCAGCAAUCACACCUGAAAAAGAAGCCACAAGCAAGGCUGAGUAUACUAAUACUCAACAAGGCUUACCCAUCAGGUGGUAACUACUCCACCGACUCCUAGAGAUGCAAGGCUUUUUGGCGGUGGGUUUGUUUUUGCCAAAAGCGACUAAAGUUGGUCCUUACUUUCAAUAUUUUAGCUCAAGUUCUAAAUUCAUUAACUAGCCUAGAUUAGCAACUUAUACUAGGCAAGCAUAGUUUCCAAACAAUUAAAGAACAAACAUCAAGAUUAAUAUCAUUAUCAUGUUCCAUCUUAACUCAGUGCAGAAUAGCGAUCAAGUAGUCCCAAACUAUGAGAGGCAGACGAAUCGAUUCGAAUUUAUUAACCAUGCAUGACGAACCUAAUCUCACGACAUCCGCGCACCACGAAGGGUCGCUUCAUUUGUCAGCCGUCCCUAUUGAUCCCUUAGGCACGUGUCAGGGCCAAACUGCCUUUGGCAUGCAAUGCUCCACAGUCCCGGUCUCUACCGUACUAUGACCGCCAUUGCACCCACAUGAUGCACCAUGGGAACGACGUUCCAAGGACAGCAGGAGUGUAAGCCACAUCCCAGUUCAAUCAGGUACUUGGCUUCCCCAUCCCAUACUAGGUAUGAGAUUAGUACUUUCAAACACUUAAUCACGAACGCCGACACGUUUCGACCUUAGUCCAAUUUCAUUUAGACAGACGGGGCAAACCACCAAGUAUCGAACAUAAGCCCGACCCCGUCCGUCGUCCUUAUAGUUGCAACAUAAAUAAAACAUUCAACUCCUAUAACUCGCGAGUGACAGGAAAUCACUCGCUUUUACCGAGACCUAUUAAGCAUUGCAACUACUCGACCUUAGCAACUAGUAUUCAGAUCAAGGUACUAAGUUCAUGCAUCUACGGUUUCAAUCAACUCCUACAAACGUAAAUGCACAAUCAUACGCAUUGUAAUUGGCAUAAAAGUAAAAUAGGGAAUUCAUGCACCGGGGUUUGCUUGGAAACCACGGCACAUGCUUAGUCCUUCCAUCUUCGAGAUAGCUCCACCAUACACCGUCUUCGGGUUCGGUUCCAUCAUCACAUCCUUCACGUGGUUUAUCUAGCGUAUCUAGAUGAGAUGCAAGAUGCAAGAGCAUGAAUACGAAGAACAGUGAAAAGAGAUGCAUCACACAAAAGCAUUCGGGACACGCACAAGGUUACACCACAAGAUAUAAGCACUUAGAGAGCAAGUUAUUUAACUAACUAUCACUCAAGUCUCCAUAGAGAUAGCAAGCCUAACAAGCACGGCACACUAGUUAACUCAAGUCAAGCUAUUGAAGC
rnacentral:lncRNA from 1 species